rnacentral:rRNA from 1 species
AGAGUUUGAUCCUGGCUCAGGAUGAACGCUAGCGACAGGCUUAACACAUGCAAGUCGAGGGGUAACAGGGUGUAGCAAUACACCGCUGACGACCGGCGCACGGGUGAGUAACGCGUAUGCAACCUGCCUUUGACAGAGGGAUAGCCCAUGGAAACGUGGAUUAAUACCUCAUAGUCUCUUUUUUCUUCCUGGGAAAUAGAGUAAAACGUGAGUGGUCAAAGAUGGGCAUGCGUCCUAUUAGGCAGUUGGCGGGGUAACGGCCCACCAAACCGAUGAUAGGUAGGGGUUCUGAGAGGAAGGUCCCCCACACUGGUACUGAGACACGGACCAGACUCCUACGGGAGGCAGCAGUGAGGAAUAUUGGUCAAUGGUCGAGAGACUGAACCAGCCAAGUCGCGUGAGGGAAGACUGCCCUAUGGGUUGUAAACCUCUUUUCUACUGGGAGAAUAAGCCUUAUGUAUAAGGUGAUGACAGUACAGUAGGAAUAAGCAUCGGCUAACUCCGUGCCAGCAGCCGCGGUAAUACGGAGGAUGCGAGCGUUAUCCGGAUUUAUUGGGUUUAAAGGGUGCGUAGGCGGCUUUAUAAGUUAGUGGUAAAAUUUCGGAGCUUCACUCCGGUCCGCCAUUAAAACUGUAGAGCUAGAGAAUGGACGAGGUAGGCGGAAUAAGUUAAGUAGCGGUGAAAUGCAUAGAUAUAACUUAGAACUCCGAUAGCGAAGGCAGCUUACCAGACUGUAACUGACGCUGAUGCACGAGAGCGUGGGUAGCGAACAGGAUUAGAUACCCUGGUAGUCCACGCCGUAAACGAUGCUCACUGGUUCUGUGCGAUAUAUUGUACGGGAUUAAGCGAAAGUAUUAAGUGAGCCACCUGGGGAGUACGUCGGCAACGAUGAAACUCAAAGGAAUUGACGGGGGCCCGCACAAGCGGAGGAACAUGUGGUUUAAUUCGAUGAUACGCGAGGAACCUUACCCGGGCUUGAAAGUUAGCGACGGAUCUGGAAACAGGUCUUCCCUUCGGGGCGCGAAACUAGGUGCUGCAUGGUUGUCGUCAGCUCGUGCCGUGAGGUGUCGGGUUAAGUCCCAUAACGAGCGCAACCCCUACCGUUAGUUGCCAUCAGGUGAAGCUGGGCACUCUGGCGGGACUGCCGGUGUAAGCCGAGAGGAAGGUGGGGAUGACGUCAAAUCAGCACGGCCCUUACGUCCGGGGCUACACA